GGAGCUGCUGUCCGACCUCCGCCUGCAGCUCCACGUCUCCAGCGACGAGCACCUGCAGGCGAUUUGGCGUCUCAAGGGGAAGAAGUAAAAAAAACUGCAGGCGUUUCAAUUCAACGGCGGCUAUUGCUGAUUGCUGUAGUUUGUAACCUGUCAAUCUGUGAUAGAUUACUACUGUACGUAGUUGUGAGUGUCAAGUCAGUCAUCAGUUGACUGAAUUUGAUUUGGAUCUCAGUCAAAGUUUGAUUUUGAUUCAGUCAAAUUUUGAUUCUGAAUUUGGGUCCCAGCCAUCGAUCAGUUCCAGCUUAAUUUCAAACUUAUUGCCGAUUGCUAUAUAAUUUGUCACCGGUGAUAUAUAGAUCAUUGUAGUUGGGAGUGUCUAAUGAUCAUUAGACUGAAAUUGAUUUGGGUCUCAGUCAAAUUGUGAUUUUGAUUGCUAGUUUGUCACCCGUGAAUCUGUGAUAGAUUACUAUAGUUGGGAGUGUCAGUCAUCAGUUGACUGAAUUUGAUUUGGAUCUCAGUCAUAUUUUGACUUUGAUUUUGGGUCUCUGUCAUGUUUUAACUUCCAAACUUAUUAUUGAUUGCUAGUUUGUCACCGGUGAUAGAUCAUUGUAGUUGGGAGUGUCUAAUGUAAACUUAUUAGACCAAGUUAGAUUUGGGUCUCAAUAAAAUUUUGAUUUUGAUUUGGAUCUCAGCCAAAUUUUGAUUUUGAAUUUGGCUCUCACUCAUCAGUUCCAACUUCCAAACUUAUAUCUUAGAUUCUGUGGCGUUUGGGAUAGCCCUGACGGUGGACUCAACCACUGAGAUCUUUAUAUUAGCAGCUCACCAAAUUGGAAGGCUCCAAAUAAUAGACAAAAUCCAAAAGUCUCCACAAAAAUGUAUGGAAAACUAAAGAAAAGAUUAGUAGAGCAGCAAGAAAAUAGUGAAAAAAUAGUGGAAACUGAAGAUUCAUCUGCUGAUGGAGAAGAUAGUUGACAUAUAUUGUGAUGUGAGUAUGUGACAAAGACCUGACAUAUUGUGAUGCAAAAUUCUUCAAUAAAGAGAAUGAUCAAAAGAUAAAGACCGAAGAAAGAGAAUGAAAAACAAACCCAUGACAAGGGAAAAAGAAUGAGAAAAUCAACUGAAGGUCUGAUGACUGGUAACAUAAGUAGACUGUCUAGGCUGAUACACUGCAUCCUACCAUAACUACAGCUGAAUAAUACACAUCCAAUCCAAUCCUAUUAACUUAGAAAUUUAUCUUCAAGUCAAUAGAGCAAGUUGGGUUAAAAAAUAGAGCCAUGGGUCAUAGAAAAUCAUGAAAGACAGAUACUCCGAUACAAGUGAUGGACUGAACAACGACUGAAGUAAUAAACUGAUGGAAUGAACAAAAUAUUCGAGCAUUGACUAGAACAUUUCCAGUAAAUCAGAAGUUCAAAAAGAUUAUCAAAUUCAUGAUGCAAACAUGAAAAACAUCUAUCAAUCAAGAGCAACGAGUGGGUCAAGAUUUGUGCUAUUUAAACAUAAUUGGCGCAAUUUGCAAAUAUUACAAAUGAUUUGCAUGGCAUUGUUUAGUUUCUCAAUAUUUACUGCAUUGACAAUACAUGCACAGAUGUUAUUACAGCCUUACAGGAAAAAAAGCAGAAAAUCUCAUUCACUUACAAGUUACACCAGGUUAAGAAAAGUUAGGGCCUCCAGACCGACGCCACUUACUGAGUUGCUGAGCUGAUAACAUCCUCAGAACCCAACAUGCACAGGACUGGCUAGCACAUAUUGUCUCAACUUGUGUCUCUAAAACUACAAAGAUCUGAUGGAGUUCCUCAGAUUCUCAGCAACUCUGGUAUGUCCUAGACAGUAUGACUUAUUCAGGUAUUGACGAAAGAACACCGGUAUUUUGUCAACCAAUUGAAAGGUCAGAAAGGAAAACAAUCAGACAAAGCAUACCAUAUAAUCAUUUUGUUCUUUAGUCUACCUACAUUUUUCUCGGCUAAUGUAUUGAUGCUACCACAAACAUGAGCAAAAAUGGCCUUUAGCUUCAAGAAAAGGGAUUAAUGCCGCAAAGUGCAAUAUGCAGGUGAGCAUCAGCAAAGUGAGGAGCAUGAGCACCGCAUCCAUGGUCUGGAGCUGGAGGCCUACGUGAGCGUCAUCAAGGCGUUCCACGCCAAGGGGCCGCUGACCUGGGCCAGGCAGGAGCUGCUGUCCGACCUCCGCCUGCACCUCCACGUCUCCGGCGACGACCACCUGCAGCUGCAGGUGAUAUGCCGUCUCAACAGCAAGAAGUAAACUGCAGCCGUUUCAACUGCAGUCUGUAACCAGUGAAUCUGCGACAGAUUACUGUAGUUGGGAGUGUCAGUCAGUCAUCAGUUGACUGGAUUUGAUUUUGAUCUCAGUCAAAGCUUGAUGUUGAUUUUGGGUCUCGGUCAAAUUUUGAUUCUGAACUUGGGUCUCACUCAUCAGUUCCAACUUCCAAACUUAUUGGCUGAUUGCUAGUUUGUCACCGGUGAUAGAUCAUUGUAGUUGGGCGUGUCUAACGAUCAUUAGACUGAAUUUGAUUUGGGUCUCAGUCAAAUUUUGAUUUUGAUUAUUGUAGGCCUGCUCUGGUUCCAAAUCCCAAACUUAGCUUUAAAUUCUGUCUGUUUGGGAUAAGCUAACGCCUGAAAACUGAAGUGAUCCACUCAAAAGCCACUGCUCUCUCUCUCUCUCUCCCCUUCUGCUCUGUUUAUUCGCACCAAAUCGGAAGGCAGCAAAAAACCGACAAAAUUGGAAUCCAAAAGCCCCCCAAAAAUGCAUUGACAACUGAAGAUUGUCAUCUGCAAAAUAGUGGAAACUGAGGAUUGUCAUCUGCUGAUGGAGAAAAGAUCUGGCAUACAUUUUGGUGAGAGAAGGAUGAAGUAAAUGCAUAAUACUUCAAUAAAGAGAGCGAGAAAAAGAUAAAGACUGAACAAAGAGAAUGAAAGCCAAACCCAAGACUGAAGGGAAAAAAGAAUGAGAAAAUGCACUGAUGGUCUGAUGAAUGGUAACAUAAGUAGACUGUCUGAUAGACUGCAUCCUGCCAUAACUACAGCAGAAUAAUGCACAUCCAGUCCUAUUAACGUGUAACUUCUUUCAAUUCAAUAAACAACAUACUAUAAGGAUAGUGAUGAAAAGGACAGCAAGUUGGGUAAAAAAUAGAGCCAUAGGCAUAGAAAAACAUGAUAGGUAGAUACUGGAAGCAGUAUGUAUAAUGAACUGAAGAAUAGAGGUACUAUAGGUUGAAUAGUGACACAGUGUAACGUAACUUGUAAUAAAGCAGUAUGAAAGGGUCAUGAUUUCCAUUGUUACACAUAGUUGGCGCAGUUUGCCAAUAUUACAACCGGUUGGCACGACAUUGGUCGGUUUCUCAAUAUUACUGCAUCGAUAAUGCACAGAUGUUAUAGCCUUAGAGAGAAACAGAAAACCUCAGUCACUUACACCAGGUUAAGAAAAGUUGGGGCACUUAUUCCAGACCCACGCCACUUAUUGAGUUGAUGAGCUGACAACAUUCUCAGAACCCAAGAUAUGCAGGACCGGGUGCACAUAUUGCCUCAGCUUGUUUUUUGGAAUGUAAAGGAUCUGAUGAAGUUCCUCAGAUUCGCAGCAGCUCUGCUAUGUUCAGGUAUAACCGCUGAUGAAAGGUCAGAGAGGACAUGGAUCAGAUGAAACAUAUAUCAUAUAAUCAUUUUGUUCUUUCUUGAUAAAUAAUCGACAAAAAAAGCGUUUUUUUAUAUAACCUGCUUGUUUUAUUAUAAUUAUAAGAAGUCCUAUAUGGAAAUGCCCGCUAAAGAGAAAAUCUAAUUGAUUGUCUCUCGGCCAAUAUCUAUUUUUAGAAAGAAAAAACAAGAAUUUUCUUCUUUUUUUAUUAACAUACAAGAUUUGCUCAGGUAAGUAGCCAAACAAAUAUUAGCUUUCGAAAAAUGUAUUAUGCUACUAUACAUAAUCAUACAACAUGAACAGAAAUGGCCUUCAGAAAAGGGAUUAGUGUCGCAAAGGAGAACAUGCCGGUGAGCAAACUAGGCAAAAUCAGAAACCCCAAUCCAUUUGAACAGAGAAACUGAGAGAACAGGGAUGAGACAUCUUUCCCCAUGAGCUUAGGGCGGCGCCGGCAGCUCCGGGCCACGUCUCGCCCGGCUGCCUUUCCCCAUGUCGCAUCCUUCUCUCCGCCGCGCUCAGAAAACAAAGGGAAUCGACCGCUGAGACCGGAGACAAACCUCCAGGAACGGGAAGAAGGACCUCCGGUGAGGCCCGACUUGACGGUGCCCGGCCUGUUGGCCGGCGCUCACUCUCCAGGGACGGGGAAAAGUAGCGGAGCGCCGCCCGGCACCUCGCUCCGGCACCACCAGACACGCCUUAUCCCUACGUCAGACAUGUCAUCAGUCCAAAUUUAUGGGCGGAGUUAGAUAAUUUGAAGAUCGAAAUACGUCACCAGUCCAUUGUCGUCCAGCCCGG
rnacentral:lncRNA from 1 species